rnacentral:lncRNA from 1 species
AAAAGGGAGAAGGGCUCACACUCACCUUGUUUUGGCUCACUACAAAAUCAGACUCUGUAACCAACCAGACUGAACUCUAGGCAGCCUUGACCUUGAAGAUCUGUGUUGUGCUCCAUCUCAGAUAUGGUGGGAAAACAUUCAUCACAGUGUGGUGCAAAGAGCACUGGAUUUGGAGAUAGAGAAUCUGGGUUUGAAUCCAUUGCCAUCUACAUGUAAGAUCUUGGGAAAUCAUUUCCUUUCUCAGGGUCUCAGUCUUCUUGUCUGUAAAACGAGAGGCAGAGCAGCAAGGGAGCACAGUGGAGAACCAGGCUUAGAGUCAGGAAGUCCUGGGUUCAAAUAUGGCCUCAUAUACUUCCUGGAAUGUAGCAAAAAGAAUCUCUUCUGGAUGAACCAGUAUGCCUCCAAAACAGAGCAGCCUGUUCCAAAGCAAUCAUCACCACAUGUCCAGUUGUACCACAAAGAGAACAGUGGCCAAAGGAAAUUUCCCAGAGAAAGAAGUUCAUUGAGUAGGUGAGUCCAUGUGAUCUUAGUUGGGAGUUUGUUCUUUGUUAUUGAAUGAUUAGCUUUUAUUGUGCUUCCCAGAAAGCAAAGAAAUUGAGCCUGCAGAUUACCAGGAGGAAAGUGGGUGUUAUACAGCCUCCCUUUUCAACAUAACUUAAUGGUGAGCAAGGACAGUAAUUAUGCUCAAUCUCCUCUGCUUCAACAAUCAAAGUGGAGUUGUUCCCAUAAGUUGUUAAGUAUUAAGUCGAACUAAUUUAAAUCAAAAAACCAUUGGCUAAGCAGUAGAGGAGUAUUAAAUAAGGGAGAGAGUCCAAAUCCCCCUCUAAAAUAGCUCUUCCAAGGAACUGCUGAUUAUCAUCCAGGUGAGAUACCUGAUUAGGAUCAAAUUGCCCUCCCCACAUCAUGUCUCAGCUCAUUGCAGCAGUGUUUGAAGGGCACCUCAGAAGGCCACAUGUAACAAGCUGACUUCUCUGGCUUGAGAACCAAGAAUGUUCUUUAGGAAAGAGGAUAUCCAGUGCUUCUUUUGACCCCACUUCCAAAAGGAAAAUAUUCCUCAGUCACUUCCUGGAAACUUGAAGCUCAGGAUUUCCCUCUUAUGUGGGUACAGAAGUCUUCAAGAUUUGCUCUGGUUAUUUGGUUUCUCCCAGGCAGCCAUUGGAACCUCAGCAGCUGAUAACAUACAUUUCUAGUUGAAAAAGAAAGUCCAAUAACUAGAAGGUGAAGCAGUGGAUAGAGCAAUGGGCCUGGAUUCAGGAAGGCUCAUCUUCCUGAGUUCAAAUCUGGCCUCAGAUGCUUACUAGCUGGGUGACUCUGGGCAAGUCAUUUAAUUUUGUUUUCCUUAUCUAUAAAAUGAGCUGGGCAAGGAAAUGGCAAACCACUCGAGUUUCCUCUUCCAAGAAAACCACAAAUGGUGCUUGCUUCGGCAACACACAUACUAAAUUUGGAAUGAUACAGAGAAGAUUUGCAUGACACACAAAUUCAUGAAGCAUUCCAUAAUUUUGACCAAGAAAAACUCAGAAAAACCUGGAAAAACUUAUAUGAAUUGAAGCCGAGUGAAAAGAGCAGAACCAGAACAUUGUACACAGAGACAGGAAUACUGUACAGUGAACAACUGAAUGACUUAGCUAUUCUCAGCAAAUAAUGAUCCAAAUCAAUCUUAAAGGACUCAUGUUAAAAAUGUCAUAUGUUGGGGGCAGCUGAGUAGCUCAGUGAAUUGAGAACCAGGCCUAGAGACGGGAGGUCCUAGGUUCAAAUCUGGCCUCAGACACUUCCCAGCUGUGUGACCCUGGGCAAGUCACUUGACCUCCAUUGCCUAGCCCUUACCUCUUUUCUGCCUUGGAACCAACACACAGUAUUGACUCCAAGGCAGAAGUUAAGGGCUUAAAAAAAAAAUUUUUUUUAAUUAAAAAAUAAUGCCAUCUGUUUCCAGAGAAGGAACUGAUGAAGUCUGAAUCCCAACCAAAGCAAACCUUUUUCACUUUCUUUCUUUAAAAUGUUUUUGGAUCAUGUGUGCUUCCACAAAAGGAUUAGUAUGAAAAAAUGUUUUACAUGAUGACUGUACAUGUAAAAUCUAUAUGAUUGCUUACUAUCUGGUGGAGAUGGGGGUGGAGAAAAGAAAAGACUUCAAAACUCAAAAUUCCUUUUAAAAUGUUGAAAACUGUUUUUAUAUGUAAUUGGGGGAAAAUUAAAUUAAAUUAAAAUUUAAGAAAAAAGGGGGCAGCUGGGUGGCUCAGUGGAUUGAGAGCCAAGUCUAGAGAUGGAAGGUCUUGGGUUCAAAUCUGGCCUCAGACACUUCCCAGCUGUGUGACCCUGAGCAAGUCACUUAACCCCCAUUGCCUAGCCCUUACUGCUCUUCUAUCUUGGAACCAAUACACAGUAUUGAUUCUAAGACAGAAGGUAAGGAUUUUUUUUUUAAUUAAGAAAAAAGAAAACCCCAAAUGGGUUUUUUUCUGAACAACAAAAGAAGUCCUGAACUUCAGGGCAUAAGAGAUGAGAAGCAGGUAUGUAUUGCUCAUAUCCUCUACCCUCAUUGAGGUCUUCCCAGACUACCCCAGUCUAUAAAUAAUAUUAACAACAGCUAACGUGUAGAUGGCACUUUGAAGUCAGGGGCUAUUACCUCCCUACCUGUAAGGUAGAAAGACAUUCUUUCCUCAAUGAACCCAUUUCUUGAUUCAUAAUCUUUUCUCCUCCUGCCUUCAUACUAGGAAACUUCAGCAUACAUACAGCCACACACAAAGUUAUAACCUUGAUCUUGCCAUCACUCACACAGCACUACUUCCAUGUUCAUGAAAUAUGAAAAUCCUUUAUCUGAUUACAAACUGUUCUUAUUCCAACUGCCCUCUACCUCAAAUCUCCAAAUUCCAUUUUCUAUCUAUACCCUAACCUCCAAUUCCUUGACUCUUCUAUUGUCCUCAUCAUCCUCAUUCUAGGUACAUUCUCUUCUCUUCCCCAUCAUUUCCUUCCACUACAAUAUAUGCUACAUAACCUCAACUGGGACCUCACUGUUACCAGGCAAUCUUUUAACAUCACCCUAAUUUUCUCACAAUUUCACUCAUUACAGUGGUUCUUCCAGAUCUUUUCUUCUCUCCUCAAAUCUCCCAUGGUUCCCCAUUCCCCUACACCCUGAGGUGGAAAUCUAGUUUACUAUUAUGAUUUUUUAAAUUGAGGCAUUAUUAACACCUCUCUAAAUUAUUCUUAUUAUAUUAAUAAAUAAAUAUCAUGACUAGUCA